GAUGAACGCUGGCGGCGUGCCUAAUACAUGCAAGUCGAGCGAACAGAUAAGGAGCUUGCUCCUUUGACGUUAGCGGCGGACGGGUGAGUAACACGUGGGUAACCUACCUAUAAGACUGGAAUAACUCCGGGAAACCGGGGCUAAUGCCGGAUAACAUGUUGAACCGCAUGGUUCUCCAGUGAAAGGCGGCUUUGCUGUCACUUAUAGAUGGACCCGCGCCGUAUUAGCUAGUUGGUGAGGUAACGGCUCACCAAGGCAACGAUAAGUAGCCGACCUGAGAGGGUGAUCGGCCACACGGGAACUGAGACACGGUCCAGACUCCUACGGGAGGAAGCAGUAGGGAAUCUUCCGAAAUGGGCGAAAGCCGGACGGAGCAACGCCGGGUGAGGGAUGAAGGUCUUCGGAUCGUAAAACCCUGUUAUUAGGGAAGAACAAAUGCGUAAGGAAAUGUGCGCGUCUUGACGGUACCUAAUCAGAAAGCCACGGCUAACUACGUG
rnacentral:rRNA from 1 species